rnacentral:misc_RNA from 1 species
CCUGUGAACAAGAAAAGAAAUGCAAGAACAAGCAACUAGUUCAAUUGCAGCCAGUUUUCUUCCAUCCAGUAGCGAGAGAUCUUCCAGCUCUGCUAUUCAACUUGAAGACAAAGAAGGGAUGGAGAGUGACGAGGAAGUUAGGAGAGUGCCGGAGAUCAGCGGUGAACCGGCGGGAACUUCAGCCUCUGGUAGAGACGGCGGUUCAGUUGCGGGUGCAGAGCGAGCGCAGGCUCCAGCGGAGGGUCAGAGUCAGAGAAAGAGAGGAAAAAGCGUAGCUGACAAAGAAAACAAGCGGCUAAAGAGGUUGCUGAGGAACAGAGUUUCAGCACAGCAAGCAAGGGAGAGGAAAAAGGCGUACUUGAAUGAGUUGGAAACAAGAGUCAAAGAAUUGGAAAAGAAAAACUCUGAGCUUGAAGAGAGGCUUUCCACUUUGCAGAAUGAAAAUCAGAUGCUUAGAAAUAUAUUGAAAAAUACAACAUCAAGCAGGAGAGGAGGCAGCAGUAAUACUAAUAAUGCAGAUGGUGUAUGAGAGAAAAAAAAAU